GAGCAAUUUUUCCUAAAGGGUUUCGUAGUCGGGUCAGGUACAUAAAUGUUUUGGAUCCAACAAGGAUGAGCUUCUACGUUUCAGAGAUUCUGGAUGCUGGACGCAAUAGUCCUUUGUUCAUGGUUUACUUGGAGGG